AAACUUUCAACAACGGAUCUCUUGGUUCUGGCAUCGAUGAAGAACGCAGCGAAAUGCGAUAAGUAAUGUGAANUGCAGAAUUCAGUGAAUCAUCGAAUCUUUGAACGCACAUUGCGCCCCUUGGUAUUCCGAGGGGCAUGCCUGUUCGAGCGUCAUUU
rnacentral:rRNA from 1 species